rnacentral:rRNA from 1 species
UACGGAGGGUGCAAGCGUUAUCCGGAUUCACUGGGUUUAAAGGGUGCGUAGGCGGGCAGGUAAGUCCGUGGUGAAAUCUCUGAGCUUAACUCAGAAACUGCCAUGGAUACUAUUUGUCUUGAAUGUUGUGGAGGUAAGCGGAAUAUGUCAUGUAGCGGUGAAAUGCUUAGAUAUGACAUAGAACACCAAUUGCGAAGGCAGCUUACUACACAAAUAUUGACGCUGAGGCACGAAGGCGUGGGGAUCAAACAGG